rnacentral:lncRNA from 1 species
GGUUUGAGGUCAGGCUAGGUAAGUGUCUCCUUUUUAGUAUUUGAUGUACAACCUAUGUCUGCCACCUCUGUGCCUAUUGAUCUUUAUCUUAUAUAUAAUAUGCCAUAUGAGAAAUAUUUCACUGCACUUGCGAGCACUUGACAACCUAAUCCUUACUUUAUUUGCCUGGUGGCCAUUCACUAGGGUUUGCUCCUUGGACAAGAGAACAAGAAAUGAGUAAGUUAAGGAUGGUGGUUCUUUGACUGUCCCGGAUCUCUAUUUGUCUUGCUAC